rnacentral:rRNA from 1 species
UACGUAGGGGGCGAGCGUUGUCCGGAUUUAUUGGGCGUAAAGAGCGUGUAGGCGGCCAGGUAGGUCGGUUGUGAAAACUGGAGGCUUAACCUUCAGACGUCGACCGAAACCAUCUGGCUAGAGUCCGGAAGAGGAGAGUGGAAUUCCUGGUGUAGCGGUGAAAUGCGCAGAUAUCAGGAAGAACACCGGUGGCGAAGGCGGUCGACUGGGCCAGUACUGACGCUGAGGCGCGACAGCGUGGGGAGCAAACAGG